AAGUCGUAACAAGGUCUCCGUUGGUGAACCAGCGGAGGGAUCAUUAUAGAGUUUUCUAAACUCCCAACCCAUGUGAACUUACCAUUGUUGCCUCGGCAGAAGCUGCUCGGUGCACCUUACCCUGGAACGGCCUACCCUGUAGCGCCUUACCCUGGAACGGCCUACCCUGUAGCGGCUGCCGGUGGACUACCAAACUCUUGUUAUUUUAUUGUAAUCUGAGCGUCUUAUUUUAAUAAGUCAAAACUUUCAACAACGGAUCUCUUGGUUCUG
rnacentral:misc_RNA from 2 species